rnacentral:lncRNA from 1 species
CAGUACCGAAACUGGGAACCGAUGUUCCUCUGGAACCAGCAUGAAAACUCCACAAAAUCCCUAGUUUGUCUCCACAGUGUUCUUAUUCCAAGUGUGCUGAGAGAAAAGGCCAGACAUGGAUACCUUAAUUUUGUAAAACAGAAAGGUAAACAUAACUGUCAUUUUAAAAUGUCAUUUCGCCGGAGAAGAAAGUUACCAUCGGGACGCUGUACUUCUCCAGUUUCACGCUCGCUCUGGAUUUCCCUCCUGCCCCCCCUUCUCCCCCCAGCAGCACUAAAAGCAAAAGGAUGGUGUGAGGGAAACACAAAGAAGGUCCCUUGCAGAGAAACACAUCCUGACAUCAAGCAUUUUCAUCACGGCUGACAGAGAAAUGGCAUGUUCAAUUUGCACUUUAUUUACAAACGCUAAACAUCUACGCACACAUGCCUACCCACCUUUCAUAUCCCUGUAUCUGAAACCCAAGCGAGGAAAACAGCCCAUGCGCGUGAAGCAAGCGAGGGAAUGUGCCGCUGCCUCAUCCAGCACGUUUACAAAUGGACCAACCACAAAUACACCACAGGGAAAUGUGCUUCUCUGUGUGCCAAAAUGCCAGGAUGUUAAUUCACAGAGAUGGCAAGGCCUGCUGAGAAUCAAGGUCUUCUGGACAUGGCACAGCCUUUGUGCUCCUGAACUCAUAGCAGCCGUGGUUAUCUGCAUGAGACACACGUGAGUUCAAGGCAGUCAAUGUUUCAUCAUGGGUAAGGGAGGGGUUGGUUAGGCUCUAACCCUGGCAAUAAAAGCUUUGGCCAUUGAUGGUUACUGAAGGAAGAAAGCUGAUUUUACUGUGAGGGUGUAUCUGCUGGUAGCUGCCAAUGCUCCAGGGGAUGGCCCCGUACCCAAGCACAUGCAGGCAGCUCUAAAUAGACUUAGUAAGGUAAAGAGAAUAGGAUGUGGAGGUGGAAAGGAGAG